CAAAAUGUGCUUCCCAAAAUUUACUUUCUGAAGCGAAUUCCAAAAGUUUACUGAAAUUUUACAAUUUAAACCGGGCUAUUGAAUCUAAAUUUAACUAAGAACUGAAACUAAAGUGCAGAUUUACUGAGUACAAGGACAACUAAAUUUACUACAAAUUAAAACAAAUUGGUUACUUUGGGCGUAGGAAAUGAUCUGACACGCGAAGCAGAAUCUCUUGACAUCGGUGGCGAGUCGCGGCCAAUAGAAGCGCUCUCGAACCUUACACAACGUCUUCCAGUACCCGAGAUGAGCUUCUUCGUGGAUCUGACGAAUCAACGGCUGACGUUCACACAUCGGAACGACCUGUUUCCACCGAAACGCACUAUCUUCGGCAAGCGACGAACCAGAGAUGAACUUGAAGACUUGACCAUCAACGACUUUGAAGUCCUUGUACUUAUCUGGACACUUCUCGAUCUGCGUCUUCAACCCAUCUACGUACGGAUCCGGCAAACAGACAUCAACGGCGGUGAGACUUCGCGACAGGGCAUCAGCAGGUACAUUUUCGGUUCCCUUCUUGUACUGGAGCGUGAUGUCGUACUUGGAUAGCUUCAAGGCCCAACGAGCGAUCCGCGGGGACUUGGACUCGAUGCUCAUUGUUCGCAAGAAGGUCAGACUCAUCGCAUCUGUCUGGACGACGAACUGACUACCUUCGACGAAGUGCUUGAAGUUCUCGAUUGCCAGCAGGACGGCCAAACAUUCUCUCUCCGUGGCGCUGUACUUCCGCUGGGUGCUGGAAAGCUUCUUCGAAAAGUAGGCAAUCGUCCGACGUACUCCAUCCUGAAUCUGGACCAACACAGCACCAAUCGCUAAAUCCGAGCUGUCUGUCUCGAUCACGAAAGGCAACGCGAAGUUGGGAUUCGCUAGAACAGGUGCGGACACCAACGCAUUCUUCAACUUCCUAAACGCCUCGUCAGCUUCCGGGGUCCAACUGAACUUCUUCCGGUCUUUCUUGAGGAGAUUUGUUAUCGGUGUUGUUAUUUCGGAAUAGUUUUGUAUGAAUUUUUGGUAGAACCCUGCCAAUCCCAAUAAACGGCGAAUGUCCUUGACGGACUGAGGCGGAGCGUAGUCAAGAAUUGGCUGGAUUUUCGUCACAUCCAUGGACAAACCAUUUUCCGAAAGAACGUACCCCAAAUAACGAAUCUGACGCUGACAGAACUUCGACUUCUGGACGUUGAUCGUGAGUCCAGCGGUGCUGAGACGAGACGCAACGGUGCUGAUCAGCUCACAAUGAUGCUCAAACGAUUCGGACGUGAUGAUGAUGUCAUCCAGGUACACGUAAACAAACGGCUCGAGAUCGUGUCCCAAAACCUUACUCAUGAGCCGGGCCAUUGUCGCUGGCGCGUUCGUAAGUCCGAAAGGCAUUACCACAAACCGAAACAACCCUUUAUUAGUCCGGAAAGCGGUCUUAUCCUUCGCAGACUCCUCCAAGCUGACCUGAUAAUAGGACUCCGACAGAUCUAUAACCGAAAAGUAUCGCGAUCUCUGGAUUCUCUGCAGAAUUCCGAGCAUGUUUGGGAACGGGAAGUCAUCUCGUUUCGUGCACGAGUUCAAACGACGCGAAUCCAAGCAGAUUCUCCAUUUCCCAUUCGGCUUCUUGAUGGGCAACAACGGGUUCAAAAACUCAACAGGACCAGCACUUUCCUCGAUCACUCCUAAACGCAACAUCCGGUCUACUUCUUCAUCGAUCACUCUCUCGACUACGGGAGACCAACGGUAACUGGGCAACCGGCGAGGCAGCGUUCCAGGUAGCAGAUCGAUAGCAUGCUGCAGAACACUCGUUCGACCUAAUUUUCCUUCGGCUGUAGCCGGAAGUUGGCGGACUGCUUCGAAUAACUGUUGACGUUGCGGAAACGAGAGCGAAUGUUCGGUUUCGAUAUCGGACGGUUGUUGUAGAUGGCUUUCCGGAAUCUCAAUCGUCGGCAUUUCGAGGCUCUCAUCUUCUUCCGGCGGAUCGAUCAGCGAAUCUCCUUCCAUCGGGACGAUCUGGAAACAAACCGUGCAGUCUUCUUCCGCGAAGAAGUCCUCGGCGAACACCAAAUCGACAGAUCGUACAGCAGCAGAAUCUUCCUCAACUUCAGUCUCAUUCCUGGGCUCCAACAGCUCUGGCGCGACCAUUAGCCGGAAAUUGAAAGCUUCCAGAAAGUCUACUCCAAGGAUUAGAUCUUUCGUAACUUCCGGGACGACUAUGGUCGGAAUUACACAUGUUUUCGAUUCGUACGUAUACGGAAUGUUUACGUAACCGGCACAUGUGUAUUCGGUACUGUCCGCAGUCUUGAUUUUGAUGUUACACUUCUGGAUCUUGAGGCCAAUCUUUCCAAUCAGUUCCAGCGAACUAAUGAUAGAUACGCCUGCACCGGUAUCUGCUAAUCCUUCAACUGUUUCGCCAAGAAUGUUAACUGUCAAAUGAGGGCAUCGUCGGAAAGUGGUGUUGAUGUUGUAGUUCUGAUUGAAAUAGCGGAAGUUGAUAGUGGGAACGUUAGAGAUGGGUUCAGCAGAAGAUCUGUUCCCUUCGAUCUCCAUCUCUAAUCGUUUUUUGGCGCGCGAAGGUUGUGUUGGUUCGGGCACACGGACGCAAUCGUGUUCUCGUGACCGCAGAUGUGACAGAACAGUCUCUUCCGCUGCACACAAUCUCUCCACAUGUGUCCGAGCUGGCGGCAGUUCCAACACAGUUCCUCCGCUCGAGGUCUCGAUACUGCAACAGCUUCAUUCGGCGGACGUGCGGCGGCUGUUGUUUUCCUAACCUGGACAGCAAAAACUUGGGAUUCGUCCGAUUCCUCAGCUUCUUCACCAAACUCAUCCUCCAGCUCAAUCUGGUUUACUCCAGCUGCCUUAGCAUUGUACAAAUUGGUUUCCAGCGAGUCAAACUUGUAGCAAAGAAGAGCGAGAUGGCCAAUUGAGGUGAUUGAUCCCAUGUGUAAAGCCAAACGACGCUGGUAGGACAUCUUCAUGUUCUCAACAAUUAGAUUGAACUUCUCCUGAACGGUCAUCUUAUUCACCAAACGUUGCGACAGCGCUUCGAUGUCGGUUAAGUACGCGCUGAAUUUCUCGUUAGGUCGCUGCUUCCGGGCUUUCAUCUGGUCUUUGAUGAAACGAUCACGGUUCGGGUUGUCGUAACGCAUCCUGAGGUAGAUCACCAACUUCUCCCACGUGUCCAACUGCUCAUCGUACGCACAGAACCAAACGUAAGCAUCAUCUUUGAACAAGAGAUGAGCGUGAACUCG